CGCCCGGAAGACCCCCGGGGACCGCGGCGCCUGACGUACCCAGCAAGACGCACAGCACAUCGAGGGCCACGUACGGCAGCCGCGUCUUGUCGAACAUGGUCUCCGGCCGGACGGCUGGCUACCUGGGGCGGGCGGCGGUUGGAACGGACCGCGGCCGAUCAGGAGAGCCAAUGCCCGGGAGGCUCGCCCGCGGGACGGCGGCGGCCCCAAGCGACUGCGCCUCGGGUGGCUGCAGGACUGUGGAGCUGGGCAGGCCCAGAGAAACUUCCAGCUACACCAGCAGAUAUGUUGGAUGGAGGAAUAAGUCAACUGAAACUAUGAGAUAGCAACCAUACAAAUUUAUAAGAAAUAUCUACUACUGAAGUGGUAUAUUCAAAUCUCACCUGUUGGAAGUAUAUAGCCCUGCAAUUGUGAGGAUGUUCCCAGAAUUGAAUGACCACAAUCAACUUUAACACAUUUUCACCAGUCAAGAAGGAAACUUUAGAGCUAUGAACAAGUAGUCAUUUCCAAUGACUUCAGAAAGGAGUCUGCAUUAGAUACUGUAGUCACUGCUGCGACUUCAAGGAAGAAAAGCGUGAUUAGACUCACAGUCUACUGCAGGGUCCAUCAUGGCAGG